rnacentral:rRNA from 1 species
UACGUAGGGUGCGAGCGUUGUCCGGAAUUACUGGGCGUAAAGAGCUCGUAGGUGGUUUGUCGCGUUGUUCGUGAAAUUCCCUGGCUUAACUGGGGGCGUGCGGGCGAUACGGGCAGACUGGAGUACUGCAGGGGAGACUGGAAUUCCUGGUGUAGCGGUGGAAUGCGUAGAUAUCGAGAGGAACACCUGCGGCGAAGGCGGGUUGCUGGGCCGACACUGACGCUGAUGCGCGAAAGCCAGGGGAGCGAACGGG